rnacentral:rRNA from 1 species
UGGGGAAUAUUGCACAAUGGGCGCAAGCCUGAUGCAGCCAUGCCGCGUGUGUGAAGAAGGCCUUCGGGUUGUAAAGCACUUUCAGCGGGGAGGAAGGCGGUGAGGUUAAUAACCUCAUCGAUUGACGUUACCCGCAGAAGAAGCACCGGCUAACUCCGUGCCAGCAGCCGCGGUAAUACGGAGGGUGCAAGCGUUAAUCGGAAUUACUGGGCGUAAAGCGAGCGCAGGCGGUUUCUUAAGUCUGAUGUGAAAGCCCCCGGCUCAACCGGGGAGGGUCAUUGGAAACUGGGAGACUUGAGUGCAGAAGAGGAGAGUGGAAUUCCAUGUGUAGCGGUGAAAUGCGUAGAUAUAUGGAGGAACACCAGUGGCGAAGGCGGCCCCCUGGACAAAGACUGACGCUCAGGUGCGAAAGCGUGGGGAGCAAACAGG